AACCGGCGAGCAGCUCGGCCGGGGAACCAAAAUCACCCUCUACCUCAAAGAGGACCAGUUGAAAUACUUGGAAGAGAGGAGAAUUAAGGAUCUGGUGAAGAAGCACUCGGAGUUCAUCAGCUAUCCGAUCUAUUUAUGGACAGAGAAGACCACCGAGAAAGAAAUUAGUGACGAUGAGGACGAUGAGGAAU